rnacentral:rRNA from 1 species
GUCCACGCCGUAAACGGUGGGCACUAGGUGUGGGUUCCAACCAACGGGAUCCGUGCCGUAGCUAACGCAUUAAGUGUCCCGCCUGGGGAGUACGGCCGCAAGGCUAAAACUCAAAGGAAUUGACGGGGGCCCGCACAAGCAGCGGAGCAUGUUGCUUAAUUCGAGGCAACGCGAAGAACCUUACCUGGGCUUGACAUGGUCGGAAAAGCUACAGAGAUGUGGUGUCCUUCGGGGACGAUCACAGGUGGUGCAUGGCUGUCGU